ACAACAAGAAACAAAGGAACAGACAACAACAACAACAACCAAAAAUUCGUGGUGGGGGUGUCAUGUUGUUGUUUUGAAUUGACUUGUUUUUGUUCUUUUUUUUUUC
rnacentral:ribozyme from 12 species